CAAGCUAGAGCUUAACAAGCGUUUUAGUUACAUUAAGAAGUUUAUUGGAAAUCAAUAUAGUUUGA
rnacentral:tRNA from 1 species